GAAAUGCGAUAAGUAAUGUGAAUUGCAGAAUUCAGUGAAUCAUCGAAUCUUUGAACGCACAUUGCGCCCGCCAGUAUUCUGGCGGGCAUGCCUGUUCGAGCGUCAUUUCAACCCUCAAGCCCUGCUUGGUGUUGGGUGCCGGCACAAGCGCCUUCGCGGCGCCUGCCGCCCCCGAAAUGAAUUGGCGGUCUCGUCGCAGCCUCCCUUGCGUAGUAGUAAAACAUCUCGCUUGGUGGAGUGCGGCGCGGCCACGCCGUAAAACCUCUUUAAUUUAUUUUAGAGUUGACCUCGGAUCAGGUAGGAAUACCCGCUGAACUUAA
rnacentral:misc_RNA from 1 species